ACUCCUACGGGAGGCAGCAGUGGGGAAUAUUGCACAAUGGGCGCAAGCCUGAUGCAGCCAUGCCGCGUGUGUGAAGAAGGCCUUGGGUUGUAAAGCACUUUCAGUCGUGAGGAAGGUAGUGUAGUUAAUAGCUGCAGUAUUUGACGUUAGCGACAGAAGAAGCACCGGCUAACUCCGUGCCAGCAGCCGCGGUAAUACGGAGGGUGCGAGCGUUAAUCGGAAUUACUGGGCGUAAAGCGCAUGCAGGUGGUUGUUAAGUCAGAUGUGAAAGCCCGGGGCGUCAACCUCGGAAUAGCAUUUGAAACUGGCAGACUAGAGUACUGUAGAGGGGGUAGAAUUUCAGGUGUAGCGGUGAAAUGCGUAGAGAUCUGAAGGAAUACCGGUGGCGAAGGCGGCUCCUGGACAGAUACUGACACUCAGAUGCGAAAGUGUGGGAGC
rnacentral:rRNA from 1 species